GACGAACGCUGGCGGCGUGCCUAAUACAUGCAAGUCGAACGCACUCUCGUUUAGAUUGAAGGAGCUUGCUCCUGAUUGAUAAACAUUUGAGUGAGUGGCGGACGGGUGAGUAACACGUGGGUAACCUGCCCUAAAGUGGGGGAUAACAUUUGGAAACAGAUGCUAAUACCGCAUAAAACCUAAACACCGCACGGUGUAGGGUUGAAAGAUGGUUUCGGCUAUCACUUUAGGAUGGACCCGCGGUGCAUUAGUUAGUUGGUGAGGUAAAGGCUCACCAAGACCGUGAUGCAUAGCCGACCUGAGAGGGUAAUCGGCCACACUGGGACUGAGACACGGCCCAGACUCCUACGGGAGGCAGCAGUAGGGAAUCUUCCACAAUGGACGAAAGUCUGAUGGAGCAACGCCGCGUGAGUGAAGAAGGUUUUCGGAUCGUAAAACUCCGUUGUUGGAGAAGAAUGUAUCUGAUAGUAACUGAUCAGGUAGUGACGGUAUCCAACCAGAAAGCCACGGCU
rnacentral:rRNA from 1 species